rnacentral:rRNA from 1 species
GAUGAACGCUGGCGGUAUGCCUAACACAUGCAAAGUCGUACGAGAGUUUUUAACUCUAGUGGCGGACGGGUGAGUAACACGUGAGAAUUUGCCUUUAGGAGGGGGAUAACAAUUGGAAACGAAUGCUAAUACCCCAUAUGCUUUUGAGUGAAAUGGAUUUUAUCCGCCUAGAGAGAAGCUCGCGGCUGAUUAGCUUGUUGGUAAGGUAAGAGCUUACCAAGGCGACGAUCAGUAUCUGGUUUGAGAGGACGAUCAGACACACUGGAACUGAGACACGGUCCAGACUCCUACGGGAGGCAGCAGUGGGGAAUUUUCCGCAAUGGGCGAAAGCCUGACGGAGCAAUACCGCGUGAGGGAAGAAUGCCUAUGGGUUGUAAACCUCUUUUUUCAGGGAGGAAUAAAAUGACGUGUACCUGAAGAAUAAGCAUCGGCUAACUCCGUG